rnacentral:tRNA from 1 species
ACUAAAGUGGCAGAAAUAAGUGCGGUAGUUUUAAGAAUUAUAUAUGAAUAAUUAUUCUUUUAGUA